rnacentral:rRNA from 1 species
UACAGAGGGGGCAAGCGUUGUUCGGAAUUACUGGGCGUAAAGGGCGCGUAGGCGGCCUGUUAAGUCGAACGUGAAAUCCCCGGGCUCAACCCGGGAACUGCGUCCGAUACUGGCAGGCUUGAAUCCGGGAGAGGGAUGUGGAAUUCCAGGUGUAGCGGUGGAAAUGCGUAGAUAUCUGGAGGAACACCGAUGGCGAAGGCAGCCUUCUGGGCCACAACUGACGCUGAGGUACGAAAGCGUGGGGAGCGAACAGG